rnacentral:rRNA from 1 species
UACGUAGGGGGCAAGCGUUGUCCGGAAUCAUUGGGCGUAAAGCGCGUGUAGGCGGCCAGAAAAGUCCGCUGUGAAAACUCGAGGCUCAACUUCGAGCUGUCGGCGGAAACUUUCUGGCUAGAGUCCGGAAGAGGAGAAUGGAAUUCCUGGUGUAGCGGUGAAAUGCGCAGAUAUCAGGAAGAACACCCGUGGCGAAGGCGGCUCUCUGGAACGCAACUGACGCUGAGGCGCGAAAGCGUGGGGAGCAAACAGG